UAUAUCUCAAUUCAAUCUUAAUUUAAUCGUAGUUAAAAACCUAUUGGACUUCAUUUAAGCUUUAGGCUUAAAUUAAUUAAAUCAUAAAUCCUAACAAAAUCCUAAUAAAAUCCUAAACCAAAUUCUAAUAAAAUCCUAAAUCCAAACCCUAAAUCCUAAACCAAACCCUAACCAAAUCCUAAACCAAAUCCUAAACCUAAAUCAAAUCCUAAUUCAAACCCUAAAUCCUAAACCAAAUCCUAAAUCAAAUCUUAAUUAAAUCCUAAAUAAACCCUAAAUCAUAAAUCAUAAAUCAAAUCCUAAACCCUAUCCUAUAUCCUAAACCAAACCCUAUCCAAACCCUAAACCAAACCCUAUCCAAACCCUAAACCGAAUCCUAACCCUAAACCAAUUCCUAACCAAACCUUAGUAAUUCCUAUAACAGAUUUAAACCUCAAUAUCUAAUGAGUAAACC
rnacentral:lncRNA from 1 species